rnacentral:rRNA from 1 species
AUUGAACGCUGGCGGCAUGCCUUACACAUGCAAGUCGAACGGUAACGGGCCUUCGGGUGCCGACGAGUGGCGAACGGGUGAGUAAUGCAUCGGAACGUACCUUUCAGUGGGGGAUAACGUAGCGAAAGUUACGCUAAUACCGCAUAUUCUGUGAGCAGGAAAGCAGGGGAUCGCAAGACCUUGCGCUGAUUGAGCGGCCGAUGUCAGAUUAGCUAGUUGGUGAGGUAAAGGCUCACCAAGGCGACGAUCUGUAGCGGGUCUGAGAGGAUGAUCCGCCACACUGGAACUGAGACACGGUCCAGACUCCUACGGGAGGCAGCAGUGGGGAAUUUUGGACAAUGGGGGCAACCCUGAUCCAGCCAUGCCGCGUGAGUGAAGAAGGCCUUCGGGUUGUAAAGCUCUUUCGGCCGGGAAGAAAUCGUAUGGGUUAAUACCUGUGCGGAUGACGGUACCGGCAUAAGAAGCACCGGCUAACUACGUGCCGCAGCCGAC